rnacentral:rRNA from 1 species
CGGACGGGUGAGUAACGCGUGAGAAUCUGCCUUCAGGACGGAGACAACAGUUGGAAACGACUGCUAAGCCCCGAUGAACCGAAAGGGAAAAUAUUUAUAGCCUGAAGAUGAGCUCGCGUCCGAUUAGCUAGUUGGCGGAGUAAAAGCCCACCAAGGCGACGAUCGGUAGCUGGUCUGAGAGGACGAUCAGCCACACUGGGACUGAGACACGGCCCAGGCUCCUACGGGAGGCAGCAGUGGGGAAUUUUCCGCAAUGGGCGAAAGCCUGACGGAGCAAGACCGCGUGGGGGAAGAAGGCUCUUGGGUUGUAAACCCCUUUUCUCUGGGAAGAAAGUUGUGAAAGCAACCUGACGGUACCAGAGGAAUCAGCAUCGGCUAACUCCGUGCCAGCAGCCGCGGUAAGACGGAGGAUGCAAGCGUUAUCCGGAAUGAUUGGGCGUAAAGCGUCCGCAGGUGGCAGUUCAAGUCUGCUGUCAAAGACCGGGGCUUAACUUCGGAAAGGCAGUGGAAACUGAACAGCUAGAGUAUGGUAGGGGCAGAGGGAAUUCCUGGUGUAGCGGUGAAAUGCGUAGAGAUCAGGAAGAACAUCGGUGGCGAAGGCGCUCUGCUGGACCAUAACUGACACUCAGGGACGAAAGCUAGGGGAGCGAAUGGGAUUAGAUACCCCAGUAGUC